rnacentral:rRNA from 1 species
CCUACGGGAGGCAGCAGUAGGGAAUAUUGCUCAAUGGGGGAAACCCUGAAGCAGCCACGCCGCGUGGAGGAUGAAGGUUUUAGGAUUGUAAACUUCUUUUGUUAGAGAAGUUUAUGACGGUAUCUAACGAAUAAGCACCGGCUAACUCCGUGCCAGCAGCCGCGGUAAUACGGAGGGUGCAAGCGUUACUCGGAAUCACUGGGCGUAAAGGGUGCGUAGGCGGGGUAAUAAGUCAGUUGUGAAAUCCUGUAGCUUAACGGCAGAACUGCAGUUGAAACUGUUACUCUGGAGUGUGGGAGAGGUAGGUGGAAUUCGUGGUGUAGGGGUGAAAUGCGUAGAGAUCAAGAGGAAUACUCAUUGCGAAGGCGACCUACUGGAACAUUACUGACGCUGAUGCACGAAAGCGUGGGGAGCAAACAGGAUUAGAUACCCGUGUAGUC